rnacentral:rRNA from 1 species
GACGAACGCUGGCGGCGUGCCUAAUACAUGCAAGUCGAACGCUUCUUUCCUCCCGAGUGCUUGCACUCAAUUGGAAAGAGGAGUGGCGGACGGGUGAGUAACACGUGGGUAACCUACCCAUCAGAGGGGGAUAACACUUCGAAACAGGUGCUAAUACCGCAUAACAGUUUAUGCCGCAUGGCAUAAGAGUGAAAGGCGCUUUCGGGUGUCGCUGAUGGAUGGACCCGCGGUGCAUUAGCUAGUUGGUGAGGUAACGGCUCACCAAGGCCACGAUGCAUAGCCGACCUGAGAGGGUGAUCGGCCACACUGGGACUGAGACACGGCCCAGACUCCUACGGGAGGCAGCAGUAGGGAAUCUUCGGCAAUGGACGAAAGUCUGACCGAGCAACGCCGCGUGAGUGAAGAAGGUUUUCGGAUCGUAAAACUCUGUUGUUAGAGAAGAACAAGGACGUUAGUAACUGAACGUCCCCUGACGGUAUCUAACCAGAAAGCCACGGCUAACUACGUG